rnacentral:rRNA from 1 species
GGAGGAUCAUUAUCGAAUUACCGGCGAGGGUUGUAGCUGGCCUUUCGGGGCACGUGCACGCCCGAGCCCUUAAUCCACACACACCUGUGAACCUAAUGUAAGGGCCCGUAAAAGGGUCCCUACGUCUCAUUUCAUCGACGCAUGUCUCAUAGAAUGUAAAUCAAUAUCUUCGCCUUAAAAAGCGUCGGUAAACUUAUACAACUUUCAACAACGGAUCUCUUGGCUCUCGCAUCGAUGAAGAACGCAGCGAAAUGCGAUAAGUAAUGUGAAUUGCAGAUUUUCAGUGAAUCAUCGAAUCUUUGAACGCACCUUGCGCUCCUUGGUAUUCCGAGGAGCAUGCCUGUUUGAGUGUCAUUAAAUACCUCAACCCCGAUGGAUUUGUUUCNUUNGGGGCUUGGACUUGGAGCGUGCUGGCGCGAGUCGGCUCCUCUCAAAUGCAUCAGCGGAAAUCAAUCUUUGGCUUUCGGACUUCAGUGUGAUAAUCAUGUUGCGCUGUGGCACGAGCCUUAAGGUCCGCUUACAAUGGUCUUUGGACGAUUUCAUCAAAUUUGACCUCAAAUCAGGUAGGACUACCCGCUGAACUUAAGCAUAUCAAUAAGCGGAGGAAAAGAAACUAACAAGGAUUCCCCUAGUAACUGCGAGUGAAGCGGGAAAAGCUCAAAUUUAAAAUCUGGCGGUCUCGCGGCCGUCCGAGUUGUAAUCUGGAGAAGCGUUUUCCGUGUCGGACCGUGUACAAGUCUUCUGGAAGGGAGCGUCGUAGAGGGUGAGAAUCCCGUCUUUGACACGGACCACCGAUGCUUUUGUGAUGCGCUCUCGAAGAGUCGAGUUGUUUGGGAAUGCAGCUCAAAAUGGGUGGUAAAUUCCAUCUAAAGCUAAAUAUUGGCGAGAGACCGAUAGCGAACAAGUACCGUGAGGGAAAGAUGAAAAGC